AUUGAACGCUGGCGGCAGGCCUAACACAUGCCAGUCGAGCGCGCGGCGGACGGGUGUGUAAUGUCUGGGAAACUGCCUGAUGGAGGGGGAUAACUACUGGAAACGGUAGCUAAUACCGCAUACCAUCAGAUGUGCCCAGCUGGGAUUAGCUAGUAGGUGGGGUAAUGGCUCACCUAGGCGACGAUCCCUAGCUGGUCUGAGAGAAUGACCAGCCACACUGGGACUGAGACACGGUGCAGAAGCCGACGGGAGGCACGAGUGGGGAAGAUUGCACAAUGGGCGCAAGCCUGAUGCAGCCAGGCCGCGUGUGUGAAGAAGGCCUUCGGGUUGUAAAGCACUUGCAGUGGGGAGGCGUGACCGGCAGAAGAAGCACCGGCUAACUCCGUGCCAGCAGCCGCGGUAAUAC
rnacentral:rRNA from 1 species